UGGGGUGGGGGUGUUCUGAAAUAACGGUGGCUGCAGUUAGAUGGCUGAGGACAUAGAAAGCGGUUGUUAUUUAUUCCAGGCACCAUCACAAAAGGCUUCCAAAAAUAUCGAGCCGAGAUAUUUUAUUGUCCAGCCUGUCUGCAGCCUGUAAUUAUGCGUUCAAGAUGUUUAAUGUGUGCAAAUGCAUUAGCCGCUUUCGCUGGUGAAAACCCUAGCUGGGGGCGGGGUAGAGGCAAGUCUGGAGAUAAUUAUGUCGUACAGUCGCAAACAUUAUUCCGUUCUUACUGUAAACGGCCCCGGCCACCUUUACGAGAAGCCAGGAAACUUCUGAGAGUUACUCGCAGCGUUUACGCGGGCAAACUGAGUUCUUUUUCUUUCUCUCCCGGAUUGUUCGAAGUAUCUAUCGGGCGGCUUCGAUGCCAGGUUCAGAGGCGCGCCAGGGAGAGGGCGCCCCGCAGAGGAGCGCAGCGGAGAGGCCCACGCAGGUCCCCAGUACCGGCGGCCCUCGGAGGCCGGGCCCUGCGUCUUGGCCAGGCACUGGGUGGCAGCUGAGGCUGGUGGCCUGGAGCCCUCGCGGCCGCGGGCAGGCCUCUUCUUGGGCAGGGUCGGGCACUCCCGCUGUCCAGGGCUCUUCGGCACCCUCCUUCCAAUCAGGUCGCUCUCCCCUGCUCCCCAGACUCAACUCCUCCGAAGCUGCUCCGGGUUGAAAUGUGACCGCUAGGCCGACUCCCUGGGCCCGCGAGCAGUUCUCGAAAGUGGCACCUAACCCCACUCGCGGCACACUUCCUCUAUGUAGUCUGCGGCCCCGCCUGCCAAAUGAGAGUGACCAGUGCAGGGACAGAAUGCCAGGCUGGUGGCCGACCGCCUGAGGGACAAAGACCGUGCCCUCACAGCAAUCCAGUGUUUGAUUCUCCCUAUAGAAAGUGAGUCUGAUCAGGGCCUUCUUCACUCUCCUCCUCCUUCUCUUCUCUUCUGCAGCUCAUUCAAAAGAGCCCAUAGAAACACAGAGAGACCCAUGAGGAGUCUCUUGCCACUGGGACUGACUCUGCCUGGGACCCACAGACCAGAAAUGGUGAGUGGUUUUUCUUCAAAGGCUGCUCGGGUCCUGAGGCUGGGAUUGCCUGCACAGCGAGAGGGCCUCCCUUGCAGCUGCACCCAACCAGGGAAAGGGGUGGAAAGAGUUUUUGAAGGACUCUAGAAGAUGGUAAGCAGGGCCACCUCGAAGACCUAGAUUUCUCAACUCUACAUCUCCUGGAGGAGGGAUUCUCUACUGGGAGUGAUCACUGCCAAUUCCAGUUUCCAGAUUUGGUUUGCCUGCCUAGGAAAAUUGGAG
rnacentral:lncRNA from 1 species